rnacentral:rRNA from 1 species
CCUACGGGAGGCUGCAGUCGAGAAUCUUCCGCAAUGGGCGAAAGCCUGACGGAGCGACGCCGCGUGAUGGAUGAAGUUCUUAGGAGCGUAAACAUCUUUUAUGAGGGAAGAAGUGAUGUUGAAUCAUAUGACGGUACCUCAUGAAUAAGUGGCUGCAAAACUCGUGCCAGCAGCAGCGGUAAAACGAGUGCCCCAAGCGUUACCCGGAAUUACUGGGCGUAAAGAGUGCGUCGGUGGUUCUGAUUAGUCCUCCGUUAAAACUCCCGGCCCAACCGGGAAGCUGCGGAGGAAACGGCAGAACUAGAGAAGGCGAGGGGUCUAUGGAACUCAUGGUGUAGGGGUGAAAUCCGUUGAUAUCAUGGGGAACACCAAAAGCGAAGGCAAUAGACUGGCGCCUGUCUGACACUCAAGCACGAAAGCGUGGGGAGCGAACGGGAUUAGAUACCCCGGUAGUC